rnacentral:misc_RNA from 1 species
UGAUGUUUGCACGUUGGCAUGUGGUCUUGUGGGUGAUGGUCUGCUGGUGCAAAUCCACCAGACUGCUGUGAGACUGUGUGUACCUAUUGCUGCUGCACAUCCAGAUGGUAUUGAUUCAGCAUCACCAACUUUCACGUCGUGGUCCCCUGAUAAUAUGACAAUAAGCCUGGGAGCUGUUGGGCCUAAUUUGAUAGUUGUUGCAACUUCCAGUCCAUGUUACCUAUUCAUUCUUGGCAUCAGGACAGUAUCAGCCCGUCAUUAUGAAAUAUACCAGUUGCAACAUGUGAAAUUGCAAGAUGAACUUUCCUGCAUUGCAAUCCCCCAAAGACUGCUUGAGCAGACAUCUUUUAUCUCUAGAACUAGUAAUAGAAGUGGAGUUCGUCUGGAUUCUCUUCCGGUCGGAUUGGACAUCAGUA